GACGAACGCUGGCGGCGUGCUUAACACAUGCAAGUCGAACGGAAAGGCCCUGCUUUUGUGGGGUGCUCGAGUGGCGAACGGGUGAGUAACACGUGAGUAACCUGCCCUUGACUUUGGGAUAACUUCAGGAAACUGGGGCUAAUACCGGAUAGGAGCUCCUGCUGCAUGGUGGGGGUUGGAAAGUUUCGGCGGUUGGGGAUGGACUCGCGGCUUAUCAGCUUGUUGGUGGGGUAGUGGCUUACCAAGGCUUUGACGGGUAGCCGGCCUGAGAGGGUGACCGGCCACAUUGGGACUGAGAUACGGCCCAGACGCCUACGGGAGGCAGCAGUGGGGAAUAGUGCACAAUGGGCGGAAGCCUGAUGCAGCAACGCCGCGUGCGGGAUGACGGCCUUCGGGUUGUAAACCGCGUGCGCCUGUGACGAAGCGUGAGUGACGGUAAUGGGUAAAGAAGCACCGGCUAACUACGUG
rnacentral:rRNA from 1 species